rfam:Burkholderia choica isolate LMG 22940 genome assembly, contig: contig000053
AAAAAAAAUGGGCGCAACGCCCAAUUUCUUUAAACCGAGGUCGCAUCCGGGCGGCGAAACAAAACUGCGUGCCCAGCGACUUUGUGAUUUUAGCCAUUU